rnacentral:rRNA from 1 species
AUUGAACGCUGGCGGCAUGCCUUACACAUGCAAGUCGAACGGCAGCGGGCCUUCGGGUGCCGGCGAGUGGCGAACGGGUGAGUAAUGCAUCGGAACGUGCCAUUGAGUGGGGGAUAACGUAGCGAAAGUUACGCUAAUACCGCAUAUUCUGUGAGCAGGAAAGCAGGGGACCGCAAGGCCUUGCGCUCUUUGAGCGGCCGAUGUCAGAUUAGCUAGUUGGUGAGGUAAAGGCUUACCAAGGCGACGAUCUGUAGCGGGUCUGAGAGGAUGAUCCGCCACACUGGAACUGAGACACGGUCCAGACUCCUACGGGAGGCAGCAGUGGGGAAUUUUGGACAAGUGGGGGCAACCCUGAUCCAGCCAUUCCGCGUGAGUGAAGAA